rnacentral:rRNA from 1 species
GACGAACGCUGGCGGCGUGCCUAAUACAUGCAAGUAGAACGCACAGUUUAUACCGUAGCUUGCUACACCAUAGACUGUGAGUUGCGAACGGGUGAGUAACGCGUAGGUAACCUGCCUGGUAGCGGGGGAUAACUAUUGGAAACGAUAGCUAAUACCGCAUAAUAUUGAUUAUUGCAUGAUAAUUGAUUGAAAGAUGCUAUUGCAUCACUACCAGAUGGACCUGCGUUGUAUUAGCUAGUAGGUGAGGUAACGGCCCACCUAGGCGACGAUACAUAGCCGACCUGAGAGGGUGAUCGGCCACACUGGGACUGAGACACGGCCCAGACUCCUACGGGAGGCAGCAGUAGGGAAUCUUCGGCAAUGGACGAAAGUCUGACCGAGCAGCGCCGCGUGAGUGAAGAAGGUUUUCGGAUCGUAAAGCUCUGUUGUAAGAGAAGAACGGGUGUGAGAGUGGAAAGUUCACACUGUGACGGUAUCUUACCAGAAAGGGACGGCUAACUACGUG